rnacentral:lncRNA from 1 species
AAAUGAUUGAGGUGAUUCUGUGGGGUAACCUUGAGGAUGAGUGGGAUGACCUUUGGGGGGUCCUCUGUGGGGUGACCUUGGGGGGUGUGUGGGAUUAUGAGAGUGUCUGAGAAUUGAGUUUUAGGUUAAGUAGGGGUGAUUUGGGACAACUCUAAGGGUGUGACUGGGGGAUGACUUUAGGGGUCCCUGGGGGUGACCUUGUGAGUGAGAUUGGAGUUUCUUUGGGGUUUCUAGGAGGUGACUUUGGGGAGGUGAGUAGGGGUGAUUUUGAGGAUGUGCCAGACUUUGGGGUUGUCUGUUGGGCUGCUUGUGGGUAUCAGCAGAGAUGACUUUGGAGGGUGACCAAGAGGGGUAUCUGGGGUUGACUCUGGGGCCCCUGUCCCCCUCUCCCCAGUUCUCAUCCAUAUGAGCAAGGGCUUCAUGUUACUGGCCGUGGCCCUGUGCUGAGUCCUCCUCCCGCCCAUGGCCCUCUCCUCCUGGCCAGUGGUCCUCCGCCUGAACAUGGCCGACUUUGUCUUCAGUUUCCUCUGCCUCGGCAUUGGGCUCCUGAUUUCUCUUCAGCCUGACGCUCUUUUCAGUUAACGGCAAGGCGGUGCACCCAAGUCCGGUGGUGUCCUACCUGGUGACCUCCUACCUGUGCUGGGACGCCAGCGACUUGAUGCUGCACUCCGGAGCCGUGUCCUACCUAAGCCCAGUGGGCAUGUGAAGCAGAGGGCAGCCCUUGAAUGCGCGGCGGCUGAGCUACCGCGGGUGGGCCGUGCAGCAGGGCGCAGCGAGGCGGACAUCCAAACAGCGGAACUCAGACGCUGACUCCGAGCGCACCCCGGGCCUUCCCAUUUCAUACACCCUCGAGGAUGAGACCCAAGCACCUCCAAGGAAUAGCACCCGAGGUCUUCAGGACACCGACCGGUAGCCAUGGCCAGAUGCCCGGCCAACCCCUUCAGCGUGGCCACGCCCUGGAUAUUCGACCUCCCCUGAGGCCCCACCCCCUGAUAUCAGGCCACGCCCUCCGAGGGGACCGGUGGCAAACUCCAGCCCUCGCUCUAGGGCCCGCCCUUUGCGGCUUUGUCCCUGCCCACUGGGUCCUCACAGUACCUCCACCCCAGAGGCCCAGCAUCCCCUCCCGUUCUGCAGACACUUGUCCAGCGUCCCGCUGAGCUCGGCAGUGUGGCUAGUUUGUGUGGCCCUGCCCCUGGUGCCCAGCCAGGGUGGUCUGCAUGGAACUUCUUUCCCGGAGUUCCGGCCUCAGCUCCGAUGUCCACCCUUGUCCCCAGGUGGACACAGCACCGCCCAGCAUUUGGUGCAACUCCACCCUUCUGCAGAACGGGCCCCUCCCUGGGAAGGCAUGGCUUGCAAUAACAUCCCUCUGUACCUUUUCUGGCUUCCCCGCCACAAUAAAACCUCUCAGCCUCAGACCUUCCAUUGCCCCCCACCUCCCCACCAGGGCAGGGUCCAUCCUAGUGUGAGUGAACUGUUCUGGCGUCCCUGACUUGCCCUUUGGGA